GUACAUCUGAGGCCUGACUAGAACAGCAGCAGUGUUCCGUGGAAAUAUCCUGUCAGGUUCAGAGGUCAACACACAUCACGUCUUCAGCAGAAAUAACAGAGAGGUCAACACACAUCACGUCUUCAGUAGAAAUAACAGAGAGGUCAACACACAUCACGUCUUCAGCAGAAAUAACAGAGAGGUCAACACACAUCACGUCUUCAGUAGAAAUAACAGAGAGGUCAACACACAUCACGUCUUCAGUAGAAAUAACAGAGAGGUCAACACACAUCACGUCUUCAGCAGAAAUAACAGAGAGGUCAACACACAUCACGUCUUCAGUAGAAAUAACAGAGAGGUCAACACACAUCACGUCUUCAGUAGAAAUAACAGAGAGGUCAACACACAUCACGUCUUCAGUAGAAAUAACAGA